rnacentral:rRNA from 1 species
CCUACGGGUGGCAGCAGUGGGGAAUAUUGCACAAUGGGGGAAACCCUGAUGCAGCGACGCCGCGUGAGUGAAGAAGUAUUUCGGUAUGUAAAGCUCUAUCAGCAGGGAAGAAAAGGACGGUACCUGACGAAGAAGCCCCGGCUAACUACGUGCCAGCAGCCGCGGUAAUACGUAGGGGGCAAGCGUUAUCCGGAUUUACUGGGGGUAACGGGAGCGUAGACGGCGGAACUCGUAAGAAGGGAAAACCCGGGGCUCAACCCUGGGAGUGCUUUUGAAACUGUUUGGCUGGAGUGCAGGAGAGGUAAGCGGAAUUCCUCGUGUAGCGGUGACAUGCGUAGAUAUUAGGAGGAACCCCCGUGGCGAAGGCGGCUUACUGGACUGUAACUGACGUUGAGGCUCGAAAGCGUGGGUAGCAAACAGGAUUAGAUACCCCUGUAGUC